rnacentral:misc_RNA from 2 species
AAGUCGUAACAAGGUUUCCGUAGGUGAACCUGCGGAAGGAUCAUUAAAAAAUACAUUACACACUGUUUUUGCGAACAAAAAAAUAAAUUUUUUUAUUCGAAUCAUUUAAAUCAAAACUUUCAACAACGGAUCUCUUGGUUCUC